GGCGGUAUAGCUCAGUGGUAGCGCGCGUGCCUCGCGUGUACAAGGUCUUGGGUUCAAUCCCCAGUGCCUCCU
rnacentral:tRNA from 1 species